GUUUCGGUAGCCUAACUGGUUCGAGCAUCUGCCUCGGAUGCGGAAGACCGCUGGUUCGAAUCCAGGCCGAGUUACA